rnacentral:rRNA from 1 species
GAUGAACGCUGGCGGCGUGCCUAAUACAUGCAAGUCGAGCGAACGGACGAUAAGCUUGCUUCUCUGAUGUUAGCGGCGGACGGGUGAGUAACACGUGGAUAACCUACCUAUAAGACUGGGAUAACUUCGGGAAACCGGAGCUAAUACCGGAUGAUAUUUUGAACCGCAUGGUUCAAAAGUGAAAGACGGUCUUGCUGUCACUUAUAGAUGGAUCCGCGCUGCAUUAGCUAGUUGGUAAGGUAACGGCUUACCAAGGCAACGAUGCAUAGCCGACCUGAGAGGGUGAUCGGCCACACUGGAACUGAGACACGGUCCAGACUCCUACGGGAGGCAGCAGUAGGGAAUCUUCCGCAAUGGGCGAAAGCCUGACGGAGCAACGCCGCGUGAGUGAUGAAGGUCUUCGGAUCGUAAAACUCUGUUAUUAGGGAAGAACAUAUGUGUAAGUAACUGUGCACAUCUUGACGGUACCGAAUCAGAAAGCCACGGCUAACUACGUG